UUAAGAACGCAAAUCAACUCACAGGAGAACAAAUAAACGCAAUAGCCGUUCGAUGCAGAACACAUACGGGUAUUAAAGUGCUCAAGUGGAGUGGGGGAAGUGGAGCGUGAAGGUGACGGCUGCUGCUGCCACAUGCUUGCCGUCGAGAAAAUGUUUAUUUGCUGUUGUUUCUUGUCACUGUACGCUGCUGAAUGCUGAAAUCUCGUAUUUGCUGAUGUGUGUAUUGUCUAAUUCUGGAUUCUCGGCAUAACAUCAAUCCCUAAAGGCAGGUCACAUAAAACAUGACAAAUGUAAAUGGAUCUCUAUUCACCUUUAGGAAUUGGUAGCGUUCUGACGUGAACUUCAGAUCUCACAUUGUU